rnacentral:lncRNA from 1 species
UGACUUCAAUGCUCAUCAAUGGAUGAAUGGAUAAACAAAGUGAGGACUUGUGAUGGGUGCCUCGUUUACUUACUCCUAGCAGGAGGAAACACGUGAGCAACCAAGUGCGAGAACUGGAGUGAAGGAGCACUGAAUUCACCUGACCGCUUUGGUGCCAGAGGGACCAAACUCCACUUACCUGCAUCUGCUGCGUUCCACCCCUUGCAAUGGGGAGUACACAGAGUCUCAUUCUGUCUCCCAGCUUGGAGUGCAAUGGCACGAUAUCAACUCACUGGAACUUCCAUCCCCUGGUUUCAAAUGAUUUUCCUGCUUCAGCCUCCAGAGUGUCUGGUAUGACAAGCGUGAGCCACUACAGUCAGCUAGUUUUUGUAUUUGCAGUGGAGACAGGGUUUUGCCUUGUUGGCUAG